CCUACGGGUGGCAGCAGUGAGGAAUAUUGGUCAAUGGCCGCAGGGCUGAACCAGCCAAGUCGCGUGAAGGAUGACUGCCCUAUGGGUUGUAAACUUCUUUUAUAUGGGAAUAAAAUGUUCCACGUGUGGGAUUUUGUAUGUACCAUAUGAAUAAGGAUCGGCUAACUCCGUGCCAGCAGCCGCGGUAAUACGGAGGAUGCGAGCGUUAUCCGGAUUUAUUGGGUUUAAAGGGUGCGCAGGCGGAAUGUCAAGUCAGCGGUAAAAUUUCGGGGCUCAACCCCGUCGUGCCGUUGAAACUGGCGUUCUUGAGUGAGCGAGAAGUAUGCGGAAUGCGUGGUGUAGCGGUGAAAUGCAUAGAUAUCACGCAGAACUCCGAUUGCGAAGGCAGCAUACCGGCGCUCAACUGACGCUCAUGCACGAAAGCGUGGGUAUCGAACAGGAUUAGAUACCCGAGUAGUC
rnacentral:rRNA from 1 species